CCUACGGGUGGCAGCAGUAGGGAAUAUUGCUCAAUGGGGGAAACCCUGAAGCAGCAACGCCGCGUGGAGGAUGAAGGUUUUAGGAUUGUAAACUCCUUUUGUGAGAGAAGAUAAUGACGGUAUCUCACGAAUAAGCACCGGCUAACUCCGUGCGAGCAGCCGCGGUAAUACGGAGGGUGCACGCGUUACUUGGAAUCACUGGGCGUAAAGAGUGCGCAGGCGGGUUUGUAAGUCGGAUGUGAAAUCCUGUAGCUUAACUACAGCGCUGCAUCUGAAAAUAUGAGUCUAGAGUGCUGGAGAGGUAAGUGGAAUUCUUGGUGUAGCGGUAGAAUGCGUAGAUAUUAGGAGGAACAUUAGUGGCGAAGGCGACUUACUGGAACAUAACUGACACUGAUGCACGAAAGCGUGGGGAGCAAACAGGAUUAGAUACCCCAGUAGUC
rnacentral:rRNA from 1 species